rnacentral:rRNA from 1 species
AGCGAACGUUUGCGGCGGGCCUAACACAUGCAAGUCGAACGCACUAGCAAUAUUGAGUGGCGCACGGGUGCGUAACACGUGGGUAAUCAACCCUUCAGCUUGGGAUAACGACUUGAAAGGGUCGCUAAUACCGGAUACGGCGCGGGAGGCUUCGGCUUCUCACGAGAAAGCCUCGCAAGGGGCACUGAAGGACGAGCCUGCGGCCCAUCAGCUAGUUGGUGAGGUAAGAGCUCACCAAGGCGAAGACGGGUAGCUGGUCUGAGAGGAUGAUCAGCCACACUGGAACUGAGACACGGUCCAGACUCCUACGGGAGGCAGCAGUGGGGAAUAUUGCGCAAUGGGCGAAAGCCUGACGCAGCCACGCCGCGUGAGCGAUGAAGGCCUCGGGUCGUAAAGCUCUGUGGGGAGAGACGAAGAAAGCCCGUGAAGAGCGGGCCUUGACGGUAUCUCCUUAGCAAGCACCGGCUAACUCCGUGCCAGCAGCCGCGGUAA